rnacentral:rRNA from 1 species
AUGGAGGGAAAACAACAAUGGGACAUGGUGGACCCUGGAUUCAAGCUUUGCGCUCCAAUUCUUAAGAGAGCAGCAGGUAGACCAAGGAAGAGUCGAAUCAGACCUCGCAGCGAAGGAGCUGGACUUGGAGCGAGGAAGCGUAAGUGCACAAGGUGUGGUGGGUCUGGUCAUUUUGGUAAGUAUUGUGAUAACACAGUAGAUCCAGCGUUCGGAGAGAGUUUCGAUGAAUGCUUCGAUGAAAAUGUUGGUCAGCAGCCGGUUGCCUCAACAGAUGAUGAAAAUGAUGGUCAACAGCCGGUUGCAUCAGAUGAGGAUUUUGACGAGGUUCCAAAUGAUGAUGGUCAA